AGUCGUGUGUGGGGGACACGGAAGGAGCGUUCACGCCGUGGUCCCUGUCAGGCUUCUUUCUCCCUGUGAAUCCUCCU
rnacentral:lncRNA from 1 species